rnacentral:rRNA from 1 species
UACGAAGGGGGCUAGCGUUGCUCGGAAUCACUGGGCGUAAAGCGCACGUAGGCGGAUUGUUAAGUCAGGGGUGAAAUCCUGGAGUUCAACUCCAGAACUGCCUUUGAUACUGGCGAUCUUGAGUCCGGGAGAGGUGAGUGGAACUGCGAGUGUAGAGGUGAAAUUCGUAGAUAUUCGCAAGAACACCAGUGGCGAAGGCGCUCACUGGCCCGGUACUGACGCUGAGGUGCGAAAGCCAGGGGAGCGGAAGGGAUUACAGGA